rnacentral:rRNA from 1 species
GUAGGUGGCAAGCGUUGUCCGGAAUUAUUGGGCGUAAAGCGCGCGCAGGCGGUUCUUUAAGUCUGAUGUGAAAGCCCACGGCUCAACCGUGGAGGGUCAUUGGAAACUGGAGAACUUGAGUACAGAAGAGGAAAGCGGAAUUCCACGUGUAGCGGUGAAAUGCGUAGAGAUGUGGAGGAACACCAGUGGCGAAGGCGGCUUUCUGGUCUGUAACUGACGCUGAGGCGCGAAAGCGUGGGGAGCAAACAGGAUUAGAUACCCUGGUAGUCCACGCCGUAAACGAUGAGUGCUAAGUGUUAGGGGGGUUUUCCGCCCCCCUUAGUGCUGCAGCUAACGCAUUAAGCACUCCGCCUAGGAGUACGGCCGCAAGGCUG